rnacentral:lncRNA from 1 species
UUUCAUCUUCUUUUGAUUAUAUUGUUAUGAUCCAAAAUAAAUGCUUGUUAUGUGUUUUUGCUUGUUCUUUUUGUUUUGUAUAUCUUAUGAAUUACGAUAACAUAUCUACAUCAUAGAAAUCAUUUUAUGCUUUUCCUCUUCUAAUUUUAAGGUUGUAUAGAAUUUUGAGUUGAUUGAAAUCAUGGAUUCGUAUCUGUUUUAGAAUUUUGUUUGAUUAGUUUUGUAGAUCAAGUCGAGUUAUGUAUCCAUUUUUUCCCCGUUUUUCUGACAUGUUUUAU